GAGGGUGUGGCUCAGCGGUAGAUCACAUGCUUAGCAUGCACAAGGGCCUGGGUUCAAUGCCCAGUACCUCCA
rnacentral:tRNA from 1 species